rnacentral:lncRNA from 1 species
GGCAAAGACCUGUUGAGAUAAUUCGUGUAGUGGUGCAUGUGUGUGUGUGUGCGUGCGUGAAGUUAUGUCUGUUACAGAGUACAAGGAGUUUGAAUAAAAGAGGGAGAAAAUGAACUUUACAUUUUUAUUUUUAUUACUACUGUGCGUGGGUGGCAUGAGAAGGUGCAUGCCACGGUGCCUGUAUGGAGGUCAGGAGACAACUUUAUGGAGUCAGUUCUCUCCUUCUACCGUUACACGGGUUCUGGGGAUUGAUCCCAAGUUGUCAAGUUUGUGUGUCUGGUGCCUUUACCCACCGAACCAUCUUGUCAACUCUUUUAAAACUUAAAAAAACAAAAACAAAAACAAAAAACCAAAACAAUAGUAACUUUUGGGGAGCGCCCUUUCUGGACUUACUGCUUUAUUCACAGGAUCAGAAUCAGAAAGUGUGGGCCGGGAAGCCCUCAGUGUGUGUGCCACAGCAGGCUGGGAUUGACUGAGAGAGGAAAGGAGUGUCCCCAUAUGAGACGGCAUGAUGAGGCUCUUGGAAAGGGGUUCAUGGAGGUGCAGGUCCCACCAGACACAUGAAGAUAUCAGAUCGCCAAUAGGAGAGGGGAGAGCCUCGGGGCAUAAAGUUAUAAAGAUGGGAAGGUUCUGGGAGGUCAGACUGGCAGAGGUUCUUACAGAUGUGCCCGCAGCUGUAUGGGAGUGAUUGAUUCAUAUUUCUACCUGCACGCCCAGCGUUGGUUGUGAGGUGUCCCUGGGUAAAUUUGGAGUGGCCUGUACCUUGUCCCUACUCUGGUUCCUGCAUGGCUCUUGCACUAGAGCAAAUCUGGAAGGCU